rnacentral:rRNA from 1 species
UACGGAGGGCGCAAGCGUUAGUCGGAAUUACUGGGCGUAAAGCGCAUGCAGGUGGUUUGUUAAGUCAGAUGUGAAAGCCCUGGGCUCAACCUAGGAAUCGCAUUUGAAACUGACAAGCUAGAGUACUGUAGAGGGGGGUAGAAUUUCAGGUGUAGCGGUGAAAUGCGUAGAGAUCUGAAGGAAUACCGGUGGCGAAGGCGGCCCCCUGGACAGAUACUGACACUCAGAUGCGAAAGAGUGGGGAGCAAACAGG